AUGGUUGAGAAGGAGAGGUGUGUUGGGCUGAGGAGGGUGUUGAGGAGGCUUAAGGUGUUUGGACCAGACACGGUGGAGUUGUCCAUGGUUGCCAUGGAUAUGCCCAUGAUCGUUGUUGAUAGGGAGAUGGAAAACAUUAUUGAUGUUGCGGCUGAGAGCAACCUCUACCUCGACCAUUGUGUUUUCCCCUACCACGACUGCUAUAACCAUUGUUCCGGCCACUAA